UCCCUUGUGGCUCAGCUGGUAAAGAAUCUGCCUGCAAUGCAGGAAAUCCUGGUUCAAUUCCUGGGCUGGGAA
rfam:Ovis aries breed Texel chromosome 8, whole genome shotgun sequence.